GAUGAACGCUGGCGGCGUGCCUAAUACAUGCAAGUCGAGCGAACAGACGAGGAGCUUGCUCCUCUGACGUUAGCGGCGGACGGGUGAGUAACACGUGGAUAACCUACCUAUAAGACUGGGAUAACUUCGGGAAACCGGAGCUAAUACCGGAUAAUAUAUUGAACCGCAUGGUUCAAUAGUGAAGGACGGUUUUGCUGUCACUUAUAGAUGGAUCCCGCCGCAUUAGCUAGUUGGUAAGGUAACGGCUUACCAAGGCAACGAUGCGUAGCCGACCUGAGAGGGUGAUCGGCCACACUGGAACUGAGACACGGUCCAGACUCCUACGGGAGGCAGCAGUAGGGAAUCUUCCGCAAUGGGCGAAAGCCUGACGGAGCAACGCCGCGUGAGUGAUGAAGGUCUUCGGAUCGUAAAACUCUGUUAUUAGGGAAGAACAAAUGUGUAAGUAACUAUGCACGUCUUGACGGUACCUAAUCAGAAAGCCACGGCUAACUACGUG
rnacentral:rRNA from 1 species